rnacentral:rRNA from 1 species
GGGCCCGCACAAGCGGUGGAGCAUGUGGUUUAAUUCGAUGAUACGCGAGGAACCUUACCAGGGCUUAAAUGUAGUCUGACAGGGGUGGAAACACCCCUCCUUCGGGCAGAUUACAAGGUGCUGCAUGGUUGUCGUCAGCUCGUGCCGUGAGGUGUCAGGUUAAGUCCUAUAACGAGCGCAACCCCUGCCGUUAGUUGCCAGCAUGUAAUGAUGGGAACUCUAACGGGACUGCCGGUGCAAACCGCGAGGAAGGUGGGGAUGACGUCAAAUCAUCACGGCCCUUACGUCCUGGCUACACACGUGCUACAAUGGCCGGUACAGAGGGCAGCCACACCGCAAGGUGGAGCG